AGAGUUUGAUCCUGGCUCAGGAUGAACGCUGGCGGCGUGCUUAACGCAUGCAAGUCGAACGAAGCACUCUAUUUGAUUUUCUUCGGAAAUGAAGAUUUUGUGACUGAGUGGCGGACGGGUGAGUAACGCGUGGGUAACCUGCCUCAUACAGGGGGAUAACAGUUGGAAACGACUGCUAAUACCGCAUAAGCGCACAGGAUCGCAUGAUCCGGUGUGAAAAACUCCGGUGGUAUGAGAUGGACCCGCGUCUGAUUAGCCAGUUGGCAGGGUAACGGCCUACCAAAGCGACGAUCAGUAGCCGACCUGAGAGGGUGACCGGCCACAUUGGGACUGAGACACGGCCCAAACUCCUACGGGAGGCAGCAGUGGGGAAUAUUGCACAAUGGGGGAAACCCUGAUGCAGCGACGCCGCGUGAGCGAAGAAGUAUUUCGGUAUGUAAAGCUCUAUCAGCAGGGAAGAAGAAUGACGGUACCUGACUAAGAAGCACCGGCUAAAUACGUGCCAGCAGCCGCGGUAAUACGUAUGGUGCAAGCGUUAUCCGGAUUUACUGGGUGUAAAGGGAGCGCAGGCGGUGCGGCAAGUCUGAUGUGAAAGCCCGGGGCUCAACCCCGGUACUGCAUUGGAAACUGUCGUACUAGAGUGUCGGAGGGGUAAGUGGAAUUCCUAGUGUAGCGGUGAAAUGCGUAGAUAUUAGGAGGAACACCAGUGGCGAAGGCGGCUUACUGGACGAUAACUGACGCUGAGGCUCGAAAGCGUGGGGAGCAAACAGGAUUAGAUACCCUGGUAGUCCGCACAGUAAACGAUGGAUGCCCGCUGUGAGCCUGUUUAAUGGUUUGCGGCCAAGCGAAAGCGUUAAGCAUCCCACCUGGGGAGUACGCCGGCAACGGUGAAACUCAAAGGAAUUGACGGGGGCCCGCACAAGCGGAGGAACAUGUGGUUUAAUUCGAUGAUACGCGAGGAACCUUACCCGGGCUUGAAUUGCAGGUGCAUGGGGUGGAGACAUCCCUUUCCUUCGGGACUCCUGUGAAGGUGCUGCAUGGUUGUCGUCAGCUCGUGCCGUGAGGUGUCGGCUUAAGUGCCAUAACGAGCGCAACCCCUCUCCGUAGUUGCCAUCGGGUUAAGCCGGGCACUCUGCGGACACUGCCUCCGCAAGGAGUGAGGAAGGUGGGGAUGACGUCAAAUCAGCACGGCCCUUACGUCCGGGGCUACACACGUGUUACAAUGGGGCAUACAGAGAGCAGGGUGUACGCAAGUGCGCCCGAAUCAAGAAAGUGCCUCUCAGUUCGGACUGGGGUCUGCAACCCGACCCCACGAAGCUGGAUUCGCUAGUAAUCGCGCAUCAGCCAUGGCGCGGUGAAUACGUUCCCGGGCCUUGUACACACCGCCCGUCAAGCCAUGAAAGCCGGGGGCGCCUGAAGUCCGUGACCGCGAGGGUCGGCCUAGGGUGAAACCGGUGAUUGGGGCUAAGUCGUAACAAGGUA
rnacentral:rRNA from 1 species